GGAACAUGUGGUUUAAUUCGAUGAUACGCGAGGAACUUACCUGGGCUUAAAUGUAGAGUGCAUUUUUAGAGAUAGAGAUUCCCUUCGGGGCUUUCUGCAAGGUGCUGCAUGGUUGUCGUCAGCUCGUGCCGUGAGGUGUCGGGUUAAGUCCCAUAACGAGCGCAACCCUUAUCGUUAGUUGCCAGCUGGUAAAGCAGGGGACUCUAGCGAAACUGCCACCGUAAGGUGAGAGGAAGGUGGGAUGACGUCAAAUCAGCACGGCCCUUAUGUCCAGGGCUACACACGUGUUACAAUGGCCGGCACAGAGGGCAGCUACCUGGUGACAGGGAUGCUAAUACUCGAAAACCGGUCUCAGUUCGGAUCGAAGUCUGCAACUCGACUUCGUGAAGCUGGAUUCGCUAGUAAUCGCGCAUCAGCCAUGGCGCGGUGAAUACGUUCCCGGGCCUU
rnacentral:rRNA from 1 species